rnacentral:rRNA from 1 species
UUUAACGAGAGUUUGAUCCUGGCUCAGGAUGAACGCUGGCGGCGUGCUUAACACAUGCAAGUCGAACGAAGCACUUUAACCUGAUUCUUCGGAUGAAGGUUUUUGUGACUGAGUGGCGGACGGGUGAGUAACGCGUGGGUAACCUGCCUCAUACAGGGGGAUAACAGUUAGAAAUGACUGCUAAUACCGCAUAAGACCACAGAGCCGCAUGGCUCAGUGGGAAAAACUCCGGUGGUAUGAGAUGGACCCGCGUCUGAUUAGGUAGUUGGUGGGGUAACGGCCUACCAAGCCAACGAUCAGUAGCCGACCUGAGAGGGUGACCGGCCACAUUGGGACUGAGACACGGCCCAAACUCCUACGGGAGGCAGCAGUGGGGAAUAUUGCACAAUGGGGGAAACCCUGAUGCAGCGACGCCGCGU